GAAUCACCUGCCAGGCUCCCGCCCGCACAACUUCUGAUUCCAGAGGCCCAGGGUGCAGCCGGGGGUUUGUAUCAAGUUCCCGGGUGAUGCUGCUGCUGCUGCUGCUGCUGCUCUAAAGAUCUCCUUCGGAGAAACAGAGCCCAUCUCUCACACUCUGGAAUUGUGUCCAUUUCUACCACGAGCUCAGAUUCCUUCAGCUCGACUUUCUCCUGUCAAACUGUUGGACGGAGUUACAAUGACCGGAUAUAUCUUUGCACAUGAAACAACCGAAAAAUGGGCAAACUACAGGAAAUGGUCGUUUGCAAGACAUUGGACAUUAGUCAUUGAAGACAGUGAUCCUGAGAGGCAAGGAAAAAUGAGAGCUGGUGAUUCCCUGGGGCAUUGUCACACAUCUACAAGGACUUAGGCAUUGGGUCCUGCUCAACUUAUUUCAAAGGCAACAGAGAUGAGCCCAGAUUUUCAGCAUACCACCACCCACAGCCUCUGCCAUCCGCUGCCCACCCUGCUCACUGGGCCUCAAAUAAUUUCUUUUACACUCCAUUUGUUUGCU